rnacentral:lncRNA from 1 species
UGUAAUAGCCUCAGUACUAUUCCCAGCAAUGACGAUAUCGUCAACAUAAACCAACAAGGCAAGAAAAACAUUACCAGUCUUCUUGGUGAAGAGGGUGUGAUCAGCAUGAGAUUUCUUGAAACCCAGAGCAAGCAAAGUGGAGCUAAAUUUCAAGUACCAUUGCCGUGAAGCUUGCUUUAAACCAUAUAGGGAUUUCUGAAGCUUCAAUACAGCAUUUUCAGGUAAAGAUCCUCCCUGACUCAUAGAAUAGCCUGGAGGUAUACUCAUAUAGAUCUCCUCAUUUAAAUCACCAUUCAGAAAGGCAUUUGAAAUAUCUAACUGUUGUAAACUCCAAUUCUUAGCAGCUGCAACAGAGAGAAG